UACGUAGGUGGCAAGCGUUGUCCGGAAUUAUUGGGCGUAAAGCGCGCGCAGGCGGUCCUUUAAGUCUGAUGUGAAAGCCCACGGCUCAACCGUGGAGGGUCAUUGGAAACUGGGAGACUUGAGUGCAGAAGAGAAGAGUGGAAUUCCACGUGUAGCGGUGAAAUGCGUAGAGAUGUGGAGGAACACCAGUGGCGAAGGCGACUCUUUGGUCUGUAACUGACGCUGAGGCGCGAAAGCGUGGGGAGCAAACAGG
rnacentral:rRNA from 1 species